AUAAUACUCCCUCCGUCCGGAAAUACUUGUCGAAGGAAUGGAUGUAUCUAGACGUAUUUUAGUUCUAGAUACAUCCAUUUUUAUGCAUUUCUCCGACAAGUAUUUCCGGACGGAGGGAGUACGUC
rnacentral:pre_miRNA from 1 species